rnacentral:rRNA from 1 species
UCGGUGCUUGCACUGAUCCGAUCGAGUGGCGGACGGGUGAGUAACGCGUGGGUAACCUGCCUCAUACAGGGGAAUAACAGUUGGAAACGGCUGCUAAUACCGCAUAAGCGCACAGAGCUGCAUGGCUCGGUGUGAAAAACUCCGGUGGUAUGGGAUGGGCCCGCGUCUGAUUAGCUAGUUGGUGAGGUAAUGGCCCACCAAGGCAACGAUCGGUAGCCGGCCUGAGAGGGUGAACGGCCACAUUGGGACUGAGACACGGCCCAAACUCC